rnacentral:tRNA from 1 species
GUUACUGUAGCUUAAACCCAAAGCGCGGCCCUGAAGUUGCCGUGACGGAUCCACCUCAAAUCCCGGAAACA